rnacentral:lncRNA from 1 species
AGGUAUCAUAGUAAAGCAAUAGAAAGGGGUAAUAGUCCAGGCGAGAUAUGUUUUAGAUUGGACAAUUUUCAUGGGAUUCUCUUUCCAGGAAUCACUUCAAAUUGUACAUCACGAUAUGCGUCAGUCGCAAAUAUUGUGCUUAUGACGAGCAAUACCAGGUGGGAUGAAAAGUUCGUACGCUGACACAUAGAUGGCACUACUGGUACUAAUCCAUAUGAUUUUUAGUCAGCCCUAACUUUUAAAAGAUGCGUAUAUAAAUUUGACAGCUGUCGAAAUAUUAGUUUUUGAAAUAUAGCAUUUUGAGUGAAGCAACUUCUGUUAAUUUAACAAAA